rnacentral:rRNA from 1 species
GGGGAAUAUUGCACAAUGGGCGAAAGCCUGAUGCAGCAACGCCGCGUGAGUGAAGAAGGUUUUCGGAUUGUAAAGCUCUGUCUUUGGGGACGAUAAUGACGGUACCCAAGGAGGAAGCCACGGCUAACUACGUGCCAGCAGCCGCGGUAAUACGUAGGUGGCGAGCGUUGUCCGGAAUUACUGGGCGUAAAGAGUGCGUAGGCGGAUAUUUAAGUGAGAUGUGAAAUACCCGGGCUUAACCCGGGCACUGCAUUUCAAACUGGAUAUCUAGAGUGCGGGAGAGGAGAAUGGAAUUCCUAGUGUAGCGGUGAAAUGCGUAGAGAUUAGGAAGAACACCAGUGGCGAAGGCGAUUCUCUGGACCGUAACUGACGCUGAGGCACGAAAGCGUGGGUAGCAAAC